UUUUGCCGAUCUGCCCUUCGUCUUCUUCCCCCACUUUUGCCGAUCUGCCCUUCGUCUUCUUCCCCAUUUCUGCUGAUCUGUCCUUAGUCUUCUUCGUCAAACCAACCCUCCUUCCACACUCUACAGAAAUGGAGACGAAUUCAUAUAAAAUCAAAAGAUCACCUCACUCCGUAAUCCCCCGGUUCAACCCAGUUUUCUUCCCCAUUUCUCCUCCUUCCGUCGUCGUCUUCCUCGCCAAACCGACGACAUCACUCCGUACACAGAAAUAGAGACGAAGCCGUAGAAAACCAAAAGUUCACUUCACUCCGUAAUCCCUCACACUAAAUUUAACUCCAAUCCGCAACUAUUUAGCUAAAAUAAUUAGCUAAACCAAUUAUUGCAGCCCUUCGUACCGUCUUCGACCUAAGUUGCUUCGAAAGAGAAAACUCAACAUCCAUGGCUAUACAGAGAAGGAAAAUAAGAGUUGAAAGCCACUCCAAAGAUUUGACAGUGUACAUGCAGAGCAAUCAUGAAAUAGAAAUGGUCCUCUCCAAAAAUCUAAGAAAAAACUGAUAAAGGUGUAAUUGUUUUGUAAUAUGGCUGUAAAAAAACACAUGGAGAGGAUCAAGGUUUGUGUGCAAGAGAGAUUAUGAAGUCUGAAAGUUUCUUUUAGAGAGACAAUAACUAUCUGAUAAAGAUAAGUAGCCUAUUUA